rnacentral:rRNA from 1 species
GACAGAGGGUGCAAACGUUGUUCGGAAUUACUGGGCGUAAAGCGUGUGUAGGCGGCCGCGCAAGUCGGAUGUGAAAUCCCCGGGCUCAACCCGGGAAGGGCACCCGAAACUGCACGGCUCGAGUACCGGAGAGGUUGGUGGAAUUCUCGGUGUAGAGGUGAAAUUCGUAGAUAUCGAGAGGAACACCGGUGGCGAAGGCGGCCAACUGGACGAGUACUGACGCUGAGACACGAAAGCGUGGGUAGCAAACAGG